UUGGAGGGCAAGUCUGGUGCCAGCAGCCGCGGUAAUUCCAGCUCCAAUAGCGUAUAUUAAAGUUGUUGCAGUUAAAAAGCUCGUAGUUGAAUUUCGAGACCGGUUUACUGGUCGUGCUUUUGUACGUACUGGUAUUAUUGGUUUCUCCUUUCUGACGAAUCAUAAUGCCAUUAAUUUGGUGUUUUGGGGAAUCAGGACUGUUACUUUGAAAAAAUUAGAGUGUUUAAAGCAGGCUCACGCUUGAAUACAUUAGCAUGGAAUAACGAAAUAGGACGUUUGAUUUUAUUUUGUUGGUUUCUAGGAUCGACGUAAUGAUUAAUAGGGAUAGUUGGGGGCAUUAGUAUUCAAUUGUCAGAGGUGAAAUUCUUGGAUUUAUUGAAGACUAACUACUGCGAAAGCAUUUGCCAAGGAUGUUUUCAUUAAUCAAGAACGAAAGUUAGGGGAUCGAAGACGAUCAGAUACCGUCGUAGUCUUAACCAUAAACUAUGCCGACUAGGGAUCGGAUGAUGUUAAUUUUUUAAUGACUCAUUCGGCGCCUUACGGGAAACCAAAGUGUUUGGGUUC
rnacentral:rRNA from 1 species